AGACAGCGCGCUAGCGUAUCUAGUCUUCUAUGUAUCUAUGGUCGGCACGUCUGGUAGCAUCUCUGGCUGCUGCUGAUCUUGUUUUUGGAGUAAAACACGGUGGAAGCUGAAUUAGUGAGGAUGACUCCUGCUCCUGUCAUCUCUAAGCUCCUCACACAUCUUUACCUGCACAUGAGGAAAAUCACUCCUGUAGAAUGCAGAUGUUCAGAGGGAGAUGAUGCCACAUCUGGUCCAGCUGAUGGAAGGUCUUGAAGUUCUCUGACUGGCCUCGACUGAAGAUGGUCGUCUCACUGGAUUUAAGGUUCAGAUGCUCAGUAACAAACUCCACCAAUGUGCUAACAGGGAAGCUUUAGGUUUAUUAAAUGUUGCUAUGAAAGUAUCGCUGUUUUUCUUUGUGAAUGCAAUGUGCUCCAACUGAAACUUGAAUUAGAACUUAGAAGUAAAUCCUUCCAUCUGAAAGGAUUUAUUUGCAUUAAUAACCUCAUAACAUUCUAAUUUUUAUUCCAGUCUUGGUUGGAAAUAGAAUCUCUGUAUUGAUUCAGGUAAAAACUGAACUUCACAGCAUGUUGAAGCAAAACAACCAGAUGAAAACUGUGAUGGUGUUGGAUUGUCAGACCGUAAUGUUGCAGCUCAAAGCAGCUUUUCUAUCUCAGUUCAUUCUGACAUUCAGCUAUGAAUCAACACAGCAGAUGGUGAUCCAUGCUGUGGAAGUCUCACAUCUCCUGAUUUAAUGGAGCUGCUUUGCACUUUUUACACUGUUUAUUUACCAACACUUUAUUUAAUAAAAGUCCCAUCUAGUUUUUAUGAGGAAUGUGAUGUUUUAAUUUCUCUGUGAAUAACUGCAGUCUAAUGCAACAGCUGGAAUUGUAACAUCUGUCCUGAUAUUGAUCAUGAAGUAUUUAUACUGAUUUAAACAUUAAAAUCACUCCUUUCUAAUCCUCUGCUGUACGUUCAAACCUGAGGCCUUAAAUAGAAACACACAAGUAUCUGAUUGAAGGAACUUCUGCAGAGUCCUGGUUCCAGAACAUGAUGAUAGAAUUAUAGACAAACUUUAACAAAAGCUGCCUGAGAGUUUACAGGUUUUUAUGUUAGAUUUCUUCAGUAAUUUAAUGAGCGUUAUCAGCAAUAAUCAAGUGUUCAUUUGAUGAACUUCAUUUCCUAAAACAUCCAGAAUUGGAGCUCAUAUCUUUGGCAGCUGUAAAGUUUCUGCUCCUUCAAAGUUCACAACACAAUGAAUGAAUUCCUAAAACACUCUCAAUGCUGGAGAGCGUUUGUGAUGCUGAAGCAGUGACCAGUUUUUCUGUUUCUUCUCUGGAGAUGCACAAUGAGGGACGUCUGCAGAGACUGAGAAAGAGUCUCACCACAUCCUGACAUGAGGAAAAAGACUUUAUUGAAGACUACAAUGAGAAAAACUAUCAGACAGCAGAUGGCUGCAUUCAAGUUUAGGCUGUUAGAUUGUUCCAGAUAAGACAAGUACAAGAUUCUUCAGAGCCGUUCUACCACAAGCCUGACAGGAAGAACUCCAACAGCUACUGAAUGUUCCUGUGGUUCCCUCAAGGCUACAGGAGGAGCCCUACGAGGACGAGCCGAUCCACCUGAUGGUGGCCAGUCGCUGCGGUUCAAAGCCAACACCGACUACAUGGACUUCUACUGGACCACAUGGAGGCCUUCAAACCGGACCAACAAGUUCACUGACUCCCCGACUCGUGGGUCUGAGGACGCCGCCGAGCCUCGGUCCAGCUGGCCUCCUGUCUGUGGGUGUUUGAG